rnacentral:rRNA from 1 species
UACGAAGGAUCCAAGCGUUAUCCGGAUUUAUUGGGUUUAAAGGGUGCGUAGGCGGCUUAUUAAGUCAGUGGUGAAAGCCUGCAGCUUAACUGCAGAACUGCCAUUGAUACUGAUGAGCUUGAGUAUAGUUGAGGUGGGCGGAAUGUGUCAUGUAGCGGUGAAAUGCUUAGAUAUGACACAGAAACACCGAUUGCGAAGGCAGCUCGCUAAACUAUAACUGACGCUGAGGCACGAAAGCGUGGGGAGCGAACAGG